UACGUAGGUGGCAAGCGUUGUCCGGAUUUACUGGGCGUAAAGAGCGCGCAGGCGGUUAAUUAAGUCGAAUGUGAAAGCCCCCGGCUCAACUGGGGAGGGUCAUUCGAUACUGAUUGACUUGAAGGCAGGAGAGGGUAGUGGAAUUCCCGGUGUAGUGGUGAAAUGCGUAGAUAUCGGGAGGAACACCUGAGGCGAAGGCGGGCUACUGGGCCGAUACUGACGCUGAUGUGCGAAAGCCAGGGGAGCGAACGGG
rnacentral:rRNA from 1 species